rnacentral:rRNA from 1 species
UGGUGGAGUGAUUUGUCUGGUUAAUUCCGAUAACGAACGAGACCUCAGCCUGCUAAAUAGUCGCACUUAGCCUUCUGGCUAGGUGCUUUCCGACUUCUUAGAGGGACUUUUGGUGCUCUAGCCAAAGGAAGUUUGAGGCAAUAACA